ensembl:ncRNA C34H3.4 ncRNA
GAAAUUGAAAGAAAUUCUUUGUGCUGGUCGGUAAGUAGAAAGGUUUUGAUGGCUUGUUGAUGCUCGGGCGCAUGAUAUUAUCAAGUACACGGCGGCUAUAAAAACGGUUGGCUUCCGUGCUUCGGUCCUACAUCAAAGGUAGCCGACGUGCACGGAGGUGUUAGGGGAGUGUUUACCAAACAGUAGA